CAUGCAAGUCGAACGGUAACAGGAAGCAGCUUGCUGCUUCGCUGACGAGUGGCGGACGGGUGAGUAAUGUCUGGGGAUCUGCCCGAUGGAGGGGGAUAACCACUGGAAACGGUGGCUAAUACCGCAUAACGUCGCAAGACCAAAGUGGGGGACCUUCGGGCCUCACACCAUCGGAUGAACCCAGAUGGGAUUAGCUAGUAGGUGGGGUAACGGCUCACCUAGGCGACGAUCCCUAGCUGGUCUGAGAGGAUGACCAGCCACACUGGAACUGAGACACGGUCCAGACUCCUACGGGAGGCAGCAGUGGGGAAUAUUGCACAAUGGGCGCAAGCCUGAUGCAGCCAUGCCGCGUGUAUGAAGAAGGCCUUCGGGUUGUAAAGUACUUUCAGCGGGGAGGAAGGGAUGGUGCUUAAUACGCGCCGUCAUUGACGUUACCCGCAAAAGAAGCACCGGCUAACUCCGUGCCAG
rnacentral:rRNA from 1 species